rnacentral:rRNA from 1 species
UGGGUGAUCUGCCCUGCACUUUGGGAUAAGCCUGGGAAACUGGGUCUAAUACCGAAUAUGACUACGCACUUCCUGGUGUGUGGUGGAAAGCUUUUGCGGUGUGGGAUGGGCCCGCGGCCUAUCAGCUUGUUGGUGGGGUAAUGGCUCACCAAGGCGACGACGGAUAACCGGCUGAGAGGGCGACCGGUCACACUGGGACUGAGACACGGCCCAGACCUCCGUACGGGAGCA